AGCGCAGGUGGUUGUAUAAGUCUGAAGUAAAAGGCAGUGGCUCAACCAUUGUGUGCUUUGGAAACUGUACAACUUGAGUGCAGAAGGGGAGAGUGGAAUUCCAUGUGUAGCGGUGAAAUGCGUAGAUAUAUGGAGGAACACCGGUGGCGAAAGCGGCUCUCUGGUCUGUAGCUGACACUGAGGCUCGAAAGCGUGGGGAGCAAACGA
rnacentral:rRNA from 1 species